GUUGUAUGGUUAAGUGACUAAGCGUACACGGUGGAUGCCUGGGCAGUCAGAGGCGAUGAAGGACGUACUAACUUGCGAUAAGCGCAGAUAAGGCAGUAAGAGCCGUUUGAGUCUGCGAUUUCCGAAUGGGGAAACCCAACUGCAUAAGCAGUUACUGUUAACUGAAUCCAUAGGUUAACAGAGCAAACCGGGGAACUGAAACAUCUAAGUACCCCGAGGAGAAGAAAUCAACCGAGAUUCCGGUAGUAGCGGCGAGCGAACCUGGAUUAGCCCUUAAGCACUCGUUGAAGUAGGUGAACAAGCUGGAAAGCUUGGCGAUACAGGGUGAUAGCCCCGUAACCGACGCUUCAUCGAGCGUGAAAUCGAGUAGGGCGGGACACGUGAUAUCCUGUCUGAAUAUGGGGGACCAUCCUCCAAGGCUAAAUACUCCUGACUGACCGAUAGUGAACCAGUACCGUGAGGGAAAGGCGAAAAGAACCCCUGUGAGGGGAGUGAAAUAGAACCUGAAACCGUGUACGUACAAGCAGUAGGAGCACCUUCGUGGUGUGACUGCGUACCUUUUGUAUAAUGGGUCAGCGACUUAUAUUCAGUGGCAAGGUUAACCGUAUAGGGGAGCCGUAGCGAAAGCGAGUCUUAACUGGGCGUUCAGUCUCUGGAUAUAGACCCGAAACCGGGUGAUCUAGCCAUGGGCAGGUUGAAGGUUGAGUAACAUCAACUGGAGGACCGAACCGACUAAUGUUGAAAAAUUAGCGGAUGACUUGUGGCUAGGGGUGAAAGGCCAAUCAAACUCGGAGAUAGCUGGUUCUCCCCGAAAGCUAUUUAGGUAGCGCCUCGGACGAAUACUACUGGGGGUAGAGCACUGUUAAGGCUAGGGGGUCAUCCCGACUUACCAACCCUUUGCAAACUCCGAAUACCAGUAAGUACUAUCCGGGAGACACACGGCGGGUGCUAACGUCCGUCGUGGAGAGGGAAACAACCCAGACCGCCAGCUAAGGUCCCAAAGUAUUGCUAAGUGGGAAACGAUGUGGGAAGGCUCAGACAGCUAGGAUGUUGGCUUAGAAGCAGCCAUCAUUUAAAGAAAGCGUAAUAGCUCACUAGUCGAGUCGGCCUGCGCGGAAGAUGUAACGGGGCUAAGCAAUACACCGAAGCUGCGGCAAUAUCUUUUAGAUAUUGGGUAGGGGAGCGUUCUGUAAGCCGUUGAAGGUGGAUCGUAAGGUCUGCUGGAGGUAUCAGAAGUGCGAAUGCUGACAUGAGUAACGACAAGGGGGGUGAAAAACCUCCCCGCCGGAAGACCAAGGGUUCCUGUCCAACGUUAAUCGGGGCAGGGUGAGUCGACCCCUAAGGCGAGGCUGAAAAGCGUAGUCGAUGGGAAACGGGUUAAUAUUCCCGUACUUCUUACAAUUGCGAUGGGGGGACGGAGAAGGCUAGGUGGGCCAGGCGACGGUUGUCCUGGUUCAAGUGCGUAGGCUUAAGAGUUAGGUAAAUCCGGCUCUUUCUAAGGCUGAGACACGACGUCGAGCUACUACGGUAGUGAAGUCAUUGAUGCCAUGCUUCCAGGAAAAGCCUCUAAGCUUCAGAUUGUAAGGAAUCGUACCCCAAACCGACACAGGUGGUCGGGUAGAGAAUACCAAGGCGCUUGAGAGAACUCGGGUGAAGGAACUAGGCAAAAUGGUACCGUAACUUCGGGAGAAGGUACGCUCUUGAUGGUGAAGUCCCUCGCGGAUGGAGCUGACGAGAGUCGCAGAUACCAGGUGGCUGCAACUGUUUAUUAAAAACACAGCACUGUGCAAAAUCGCAAGAUGACGUAUACGGUGUGACGCCUGCCCGGUGCCGGAAGGUUAAUUGAUGGGGUUAGCGCAAGCGAAGCUCUUGAUCGAAGCCCCGGUAAACGGCGGCCGUAACUAUAACGGUCCUAAGGUAGCGAAAUUCCUUGUCGGGUAAGUUCCGACCUGCACGAAUGGCGUAAUGAUGGCCACGCUGUCUCCACCCGAGACUCAGUGAAAUUGAAAUCGCUGUGAAGAUGCAGUGUACCCGCGGCUAGACGGAAAGACCCCGUGAACCUUUACUACAGCUUGGCACUGAACAUUGAACCUACAUGUGUAGGAUAGGUGGGAGGCUAUGAAGACGUGACGCUAGUUGCGUUGGAGCCGUCCUUGAAAUACCACCCUUGUAUGUUUGAUGUUCUAACUUAGACCCGUUAUCCGGGUUGAGGACAGUGCCUGGUGGGUAGUUUGACUGGGGCGGUCUCCUCCCAAAGAGUAACGGAGGAGCACGAAGGUGGGCUAAUCACGGUUGGACAUCGUGAGGUUAGUGCAAUGGCAUAAGCCCGCUUAACUGCGAGAAUGACGGUUCGAGCAGGUGCGAAAGCAGGUCAUAGUGAUCCGGUGGUUCUGUAUGGAAGGGCCAUCGCUCAACGGAUAAAAGGUACUCCGGGGAUAACAGGCUGAUACCGCCCAAGAGUUCAUAUCGACGGCGGUGUUUGGCACCUCGAUGUCGGCUCAUCACAUCCUGGGGCUGAAGUCGGUCCCAAGGGUAUGGCUGUUCGCCAUUUAAAGUGGUACGCGAGCUGGGUUUAGAACGUCGUGAGACAGUUCGGUCCCUAUCUGCCGUGGGCGUUGGAAGAUUGAAGGGGGCUGCUCCUAGUACGAGAGGACCGGAGUGGACGAACCUCUGGUGUUCGGGUUGUGUCGCCAGACGCAUUGCCCGGUAGCUAAGUUCGGAAUCGAUAACCGCUGAAAGCAUCUAAGCGGGAAGCGAGCCCUGAGAUGAGUCUUCCCUGACAGUUUAACUGUCCUAAAGGGUUGUUCGAGACUAGAACGUUGAUAGGCAGGGUGUGUAAGCGUUGUGAGGCGUUGAGCUAACCUGUACUAAUUGCCCGUGAGGCUUAACCAUACAACACCCAAGGGGUUUUGUA
rnacentral:rRNA from 1 species